rnacentral:rRNA from 1 species
AGCAGUGGGGAAUAUUGCACAAUGGGGGAAACCCUGAUGCAGCGACGCCGCGUGAGUGAAGAAGUAUUUCGGUAUGUAAAGCUCUAUCAGCAGGGAAGAAGAAAGACGGUACCUGACUAAGAAGCCCCGGCUAACUACGUGCCAGCAGCCGCGGUAAUACGUAGGGGGCAAGCGUUAUCCGGAUUUACUGGGUGUAAAGGGAGCGUAGACGGCUGUGCAAGUCUGAAGUGAAAGCCCAGGGCUCAACCCUGGGACUGCUUUGGAAACUGUGGAGCUAGAGUGCUGGAGAGGUAAGUGGAAUUCCUAGUGUAGCGGUGAAAUGCGUAGAUAUUAGGAGGAACACCAGUGGCGAAGGCGGCUUACUGGACAGUAACUGACGUUGAGGCUCGAAAGCGUGGGGAGCAAACAGGAUUAGAUACCCUGGUAGUCCACGCGGUAAACGAUGAAUACUAGGUGUUGGAGAGCAAAGCUUUUCG